rnacentral:rRNA from 1 species
CUGGGAGGACCAUCUCCUAAGGCUAAAUACUCUCUAGUGACCGAUAGUGAACCAGUACCGUGAGGGAAAGGUGAAAAGCACCCCGGAAGGGGAGUGAAAUAGAACCUGAAACCGUGUGCUUACAAGUAGUCAGAGCCCGUUAAUGGGUGAUGGCGUGCCUUUUGUAGAAUGAACCGGCGAGUUACGAUUUGAUGCAAGGUUAAGCAGUAAAUGUGGAGCCGUAGCGAAAGCGAGUCUGAAUAGGGCGUUUAGUAUUUGGUCGUAGACCCGAAACCAGGUGAUCUACCCUUGGUCAGGUUGAAGUUCAGGUAACACUGAAUGGAGGACCGAACCGACUUACGUUGAAAAGUGAGCGGAUGAACUGAGGGUAGCGGAGAAAUUCCAAUCGAACCUGGAGAUAGCUGGUUCUCUCCGAAAUAGCUUUAGGGCUAGCCUCAAGUGAUGAUUAUUGGAGGUAGAGCACUGUUUGGACGAGGGGCCCCUCUCGGGUUACCGAAUUCAGACAAACUCCGAAUGCCAAUUAAUUUAACUUGGGAGUCAGAACAUGGGUGAUAAGGUCCGUGUUCGAAAGGGAAACAGCCCAGACCACCAGCUAAGGUCCCAAAAUAUAUGUUAAGUGGAAAAGGAUGUGGCGUUGCCCAGACAACUAGGAUGUUGGCUUAGAAGCAGCCAUCAUUUAAAGAGUGCGUAAUAGCUCACUAGUCGAGUGACACUGCGCCGAAAAUGUACCGGGGCUAAACAUAUUACCGAAGCUGUGGAUUGUCCUUUGGACAAUGGUAGGAGAGCGUUCUAAGGGCGUUGAAGCAUGAUCGUAAGGACAUGUGGAGCGCUUAGAAGUGAGAAUGCCGGUGUGAGUAGCGAAAGACGGGUGAGAAUCCCGUCCACCGAUUGACUAAGGUUUCCAGAGGAAGGCUCGUCCGCUCUGGGUUAGUCGGGUCCUAAGCUGAGGCCGACAGGCGUAGGCGAUGGAUAACAGGUUGAUAUUCCUGUACCACCUAUAAUCGUUUUAAUCGAUGGGGGGACGCAGUAGGAUAGGCGAAGCGUGCGAUUGGAUUGCACGUCUAAGCAGUAAGGCUGAGUAUUAGGCAAAUCCGGUACUCGUUAAGGCUGAGCUGUGAUGGGGAGAAGACAUUGUGUCUUCGAGUCGUUGAUUUCACACUGCCGAGAAAAGCCUCUAGAUAGAAAAUAGGUGCCCGUACCGCAAACCGACACAGGUAGUCAAGAUGAGAAUUCUAAGGUGAGCGAGCGAACUCUCGUUAAGGAACUCGGCAAAAUGACCCCGUAACUUCGGGAGAAGGGGUGCUCUUUAGGGUUAACGCCCAGAAGAGCCGCAGUGAAUAGGCCCAAGCGACUGUUUAUCAAAAACACAGGUCUCUGCUAAACCGUAAGGUGAUGUAUAGGGGCUGACGCCUGCCCGGUGCUGGAAGGUUAAGAGGAGUGGUUAGCUUCUGCGAAGCUACGAAUCGAAGCCCCAGUAAACGGCGGCCGUAACUAUAACGGUCCUAAGGUAGCGAAAUUCCUUGUCGGGUAAGUUCCGACCCGCACGAAAGGCGUAACGAUUUGGGCACUGUCUCAACGAGAGACUCGGUGAAAUCAUAGUACCUGUGAAGAUGCAGGUUACCCGCGACAGGACGGAAAGACCCCGUGGAGCUUUACUGUAGCCUGAUAUUGAAAUUCGGCACAGCUUGUACAGGAUAGGUAGGAGCCUUUGAAACGUGAGCGCUAGCUUACGUGGAGGCGCUGGUGGGAUACUACCCUAGCUGUGUUGGCUUUCUAACCCGCACCACUUAUCGUGGUGGGAGACAGUGUCAGGCGGGCAGUUUGACUGGGGCGGUCGCCUCCUAAAAGGUAACGGAGGCGCUCAAAGGUUCCCUCAGAAUGGUUGGAAAUCAUUCAUAGAGUGUAAAGGCAUAAGGGAGCUUGACUGCGAGACCUACAAGUCGAGCAGGGUCGAAAGACGGACUUAGUGAUCCGGUGGUUCCGCAUGGAAGGGCCAUCGCUCAACGGAUAAAAGCUACCCCGGGGAUAACAGGCUUAUCUCCCCCAAGAGUUCACAUCGACGGGGAGGUUUGGCACCUCGAUGUCGGCUCAUCGCAUCCUGGGGCUGUAGUCGGUCCCAAGGGUUGGGCUGUUCGCCCAUUAAAGCGGUACGCGAGCUGGGUUCAGAACGUCGUGAGACAGUUCGGUCCCUAUCCGUCGUGGGCGUAGGAAAUUUGAGAGGAGCUGUCCUUAGUACGAGAGGACCGGGAUGGACAUACCUCUGGUGUACCAGUUGUCGUGCCAACGGCAUAGCUGGGUAGCUAUGUGUGGACGGGAUAAGUGCUGAAAGCAUCUAAGCAUGAA